GUGGGGAAUCUUAGACAAUGGGCGCAAGCCUGAUCUAGCCAUGCCGCGUGAGCGAUGAAGGCCUUAGGGUUGUAAAGCUCUUUCGCUGGGGAAGAUAAUGACUGUACCCAGUAAAGAAGCCCCGGCUAACUCCGUGCCAGCAGCCGCGGUAAUACGGAGGGGGCUAGCGUUGUUCGGAAUUACUGGGCGUAAAGCGCGCGUAGGCGGAUUGGAAAGUUGGGGGUGAAAUCCCGGGGCUCAACCUCGGAACUGCCUUCAAAACUCCCAGUCUGGAGUUCGAGAGAGGUGGGUGGAAUUCCGAGUGUAGAGGUGAAAUUCGUAGAUAUUGGGAGGAACACCAGUGGCGAAGGCGGCUCACUGGCUCGAUACUGACGCUGGGGUGCGAAAGCGUGGGGAGCAAACAGGAUUAGAAACCCGGGUAGUCC
rnacentral:rRNA from 1 species